CCUACGGGAGGUAGCAGUGAGGAAUAUUGGUCAAUGGCCGCAGGGCUGAACCAGCCAAGUCGCGUGAGGGAUGACGGCCCUAUGGAUUGUAAACUUCUUUUGUCAGGGAGUAAAGUGCGCCACGUGUGGCGCUUUGCGAGUACCUGAAGAAAAAGCAUCGGCUAACUCCGUGCCAGCAGCCGCGGUAAUACGGAGGAUGCGAGCGUUAUCCGGAUUUAUUGGGUUUAAAGGGUGCGCAGGCGGAGUGUAAAGUCAGCGGUAAAAUUUUGGGGCUCAACCCCAACGUGCCGUUGAAACUGGCGUUCUUGAGUGAGCGAGAGGUAUGCGGAAUGCGUGGUGUAGCGGUGAAAUGCAUAGAUAUCACGCAGAACUCCGAUUGCGAAGGCAGCAUACCGGCGCGCAACUGACGCUCAGGCACGAAAGCGUGGGUAUCGAACAGGAUUAGAUACCCGGGUAGUC
rnacentral:rRNA from 1 species